UACGGAAGGCAGCAGUGGGGAAUAUUGCACAAUGGGCGCAAGCCUGAUGCAGCCAUGCCGCGUGUAUGAAGAAGGCCUUCGGGUUGUAAAGUACUUUCAGUCGUGAGGAAGGUGUUAAGGUUAAUAACCUUAGCAAUUGACGUUAGCGACAGAAGAAGCACCGGCUAACUCCGUGCCAGCAGCCGCGGUAAUACGGAGGGUGCGAGCGUUAAUCGGAAUUACUGGGCGUAAAGGGCACGCAGGCGGUUAUAAGUUGGAUGUGAAAUCCCCGGGCUUAACCUGGGAAUGGCAUUCAAGACUGGUUAGCUAGAGUCUUGUAGAGGGGGUAGAAUUCCAUGUGUAGCGGUGAAAUGCGUAGAGAUGUGGAGGAUACCGGUGGCGAAGGCGGCCCCUGGCAAAGGACUGACGCUCAUGUGCGAAAGCGUGGGGAGCAAACAGGGAUUAGAUACC
rnacentral:rRNA from 1 species